rnacentral:rRNA from 1 species
UGGGGAAUUUUGGACGAAUUGGGGGCAACCGUCGAUCCAGCAAUGCCGCGUGUGUGAAGAAGGCCUUCGGGUUGUAAAGCACUUUUGUCCGGAAAGAAAACGCCGUGGUUAAUACCCGUGGCGGAUGACGGUACCGGAAGAAUAAGCACCGGCUAACUACGUGCCAGCAGCCGCGGUAAUACGUAGGGUGCAAGCGUUAAUCGGAAUUACUGGGCGUAAAGCGUGCGCAGGCGGUCCGCUAAGACAGAUGUGAAAUCCCCGGGCUUAACCUGGGAACUGCAUUUGUGACUGGCGGGCUAGAGUAUGGCAGAGGGGGGUAGAAUUCCACGUGUAGCAGUGAAAUGCGUAGAGAUGUGGAGGAAUACCGAUGGCGAAGGCAGCCCCCUGGGCCAAUACUGACGCUCAUGCACGAAAGCGUGGGGAGCAAACAGGAUUCAGAUACCCUGGUAGUCCACGCCCUAAACGAUGUCAAC